GAUGAACGCUGGCGGCGUGCCUAAUACAUGCAAGUCGAGCGAGCGGACGAGAAGCUUGCUUCUCUGAUGUUAGCGGCGGACGGGUGAGUAACACGUGGAUAACCUACCUAUAAGACUGGGAUAACUUCGGGAAACAGGAGCUAAUACCGGAUAAUAUUUUGAACCGCAUGGUUCAAAAGUGAAAGACGGUCUUGGUGUCACUUAUAGAUGGAUCCGCGCUGCAUUAGCUAGUUGGUAAGGUAACGGCUUACCAAGGCAACGAUGCAUAGCCGACCUGAGAGGGUGAUCGGCCACACUGGAACUGAGACACGGUCCAGACUCCUACGGGAGGCAGCAGUAGGGAAUCUUCCGCAAUGGGCGAAAGCCUGACGGAGCAACGCCGCGUGAGUGAUGAAGGUCUUCGGAUCGUAAAACUCUGUUAUUAGGGAAGAACAUAUGUGUAAGUAACUGUGCACAUCUUGACGGUACCUAAUCAGAAAGCCACGGCUAACUACGUG
rnacentral:rRNA from 1 species